rnacentral:rRNA from 1 species
UCCUACGGGAGGCAGCAGUAGGGAAUAUUGGACAAUGGGCGAGAGCCUGAUCCAGCCAUGCCGCGUGCAGGAAGAAGGCCUUCUGGGUUGUAAACUGCUUUUGCCGGGGGAUAAAAUACCCAUGCGUGGGGAAUUGAAGGUGCCCGGUGAAUAAGCCACGGCUAACUACGUGCCAGCAGCCGCGGUAAU